CCUACGGGAGACAGCAGUAGGGAAUCUUCCACAAUGGACGAAAGUCUGAUGGAGCAACGCCGCGUGAGUGAAGAAGGGUUUCGGCUCGUUAAGCUCUGUUGGUAGUGAAGAAAGAUAGAGGUAGUAACUGGCCGUUAUUUGACGGUAAUUACUUAGAAAGUCACGGCUAACUACGUGCCAGCAGCCGCGGUAAUACGUAGGUGGCAAGCGUUGUCCGGAUUUAUUGGGCGUAAAGCGAGUGCAGGCGGUUCAAUAAGUCUGAUGUGAAAGCCUUCGGCUCAACCGGAGAAUUGCAUCAGAAACUGUUGAACUUGAGUGCAGAAGAGGAGAGUGGAACUCCAUGUGUAGCGGUGGAAUGCGUAGAUAUAUGGCAGAACACCAGUGGCGAAGGCGGCUCUCUGGUCUGCAACUGACGCUGAGGCUCGAAAGCAUGGGUAGCGAACAGGAUUAGAUACCCCUGUAGUC
rnacentral:rRNA from 1 species